rnacentral:rRNA from 1 species
GUCCACGCCUUAAACGAUGGAUACUCGAUGUCGGUCCGCAAGGAUCGGUGUCUAAGCUAACGCAUUAAGUAUCCCACCUGGGGAGUACGAUCGCAAGGUUGAAACUCAAAGGAAUUGACGGGGGCCCCGCACAAGCAGUGGAGCAUGUGGUUCAAUUCGAUGCAACGCGAAGAACCUUACCUGGGUUUGAAAAGCUCUGUAAACCGGUGAAAGCCGGCUAGCGUAGCAAUACGCGCGGAGUACAGGUGCUGCAUGGCUGUCGU